UAUGUGAUCGUCUCUCGCAUAUCAAUAAGCGGAGGAAAAGAAACUAACAAGGAUUCCCCUAGUAACGGCGAGUGAAGCGGGAAGAGCUCAAAUUUGAAAUCUUAAAGGGUUUCCCUUUACGAAUUGUAGUUUAAAGAAGUGUUUUCUGUUGAGGUUUUGGUAAAAGUUCUUUGGAAUAGGACAUCAUAGAGGGUGAGAAUCCCGUAUUUGACCUUUACUUUCAACUUUGUGAUACACUUUCAAAGAGUCGGAUUGUUUGGGAAUGCAGUCCAAAAUGGGUGGUAAAUUUCAUCUAAAGCUAAAUAUUGGCGAGAGACCGAUAGCGAACAAGUACCGUGAGGGAAAGAUGAAAAGAACUUUGAAAAGAGAGUUAAACAGUACGUGAAAUUGUCAAAAGGGAAGCGUUUGACACCAGUGUUGUUUUUCUGAAAAUCAAUUAAAGAACUGUUUAUGCUAAGCUUGUUUAGACUUUAUCAGCUAUCUGUUUAGUUUUGAGCUUUUCUUUAAUGCACUUUUCAGUUAACAAGUCAACAUCAAUUCCUUUUGCUGUAAAAAAGCUUGAGGAAGGUGGCUUGAGAUUCGUCUUAAGUGUUUAUAGCCUCUUGCCUAUGCAGUCGGAGAGAUUGAGGUCUGCAGCGUAGAUCCUUCGGGGCUAAAUGCAUUUGUGCUAAGUUAUAGCAUUUUAUAGACAACUUGUUGACUAUGAUUUGUCUUGUAGCUUACUCGCUUAUGUUAUUUUACCUACGCUUAGGAUGUUGAUCUGUAGUGCGUGCGC
rnacentral:rRNA from 1 species